rnacentral:rRNA from 1 species
CCGCCAGAGUAUUACGAGCAAUAGCUUAAAACUCAAAGGACUUGGCGGUGCUCAAAUCCAUCCAGAGGAGCCUGUUCUAUAAUCGAUAAUCCACGCUUAACCUCACCACCAUUUGAUAAUCCAGCCUAUAUACCACCGUCACCAGCAUGCCUUGUGAAAGAACCACAGCAAGCAAAAACGAAAUCUCCAAAUACGCCAGGUCAAGGUGUAGCAUAUAUGGUGGGAAGAAAUGGGCUACAUUUUCUUCUAAAGACCAUACGAAUGACAAAAUGAAAUUAUAUCUGAAGGCGGAUUUGGCAGUAAGGCUGGGUAAUUAUACCACCCUUAAUCUUGGCCCUGAGGCGCGC